UCGCUUCUGCAGCACAUAUACUGAAACUGGAAUGAUAAGGAGAAGAUUAGCAUGGACCCUGUGCAAGGAUGACAUGCAAAUUCAUGAAGCUUUCCUUAUUUUU